rfam:Streptomyces rubellomurinus strain ATCC 31215 contig-107, whole genome shotgun sequence.
CUUCACCGAGCCCAGGUACAGCGGCCGUUCGGCCGGCCGGUCCUGGCCGUAGGUGGCGAGCAGCGCGUGCGCCUC